rnacentral:rRNA from 1 species
UACGUAGGAUGCAAGCGUUGUCCGGAAUUAUUGGGCGUAAAGAGCGCGCAGGCGGUUUUACAAGUCAGAUGUGAAAUAUCCGGGCUUAACCCGGAGGGGUCAUUUGAAACUGUGAGACUAGAGUACAGCAGAGGAUAGCGGAAUUCCCGGUGUAGUGGUGAAAUGCGUAGAUAUCGGGAGGAACACCAGUGGCGAAGGCGACUACCUGGCCUGUUCUUGACGCUGAGGCGCGAAAGCUAGGGGAGCAAACGGG